GAUGAAUGCUAGCGGGAGGCCUAACACAUGCAAGCCGAGCGGUAUUGUUUCUUCGGAAAUGAGAGAGCGGCGUACGGGUGCGGAACACGUGUGCAACCUGCCUUUAUCUGGGGAUAGCCUUUCGAAAGGAAGAUUAAUACUCCAUAACAUAUUGAUUGGCAUCAAUUAAUAUUGAAAGCUCCGGCGGAUAGUGAUGGGCACGCGCAAGAUUGGCUAGUUUGUGAGGUAACGGCCCACCAAGGCGAUGACCUUUAGGGGGGCUGAGAGGGUGAUCCCCCACACUGGUACUGAGACACGGACCAGACUCCUACGGGAGGCAGCAGUGAGGAAUAUUGGUCAAUGGGUGCAAGCCUGAACCAGCCAUCCCGCGUGAAGGACGACUGCCCUAUGGGUUGUAAACUUCUUUUGUAUAGGGAUAAACCUACCCUCGUGAGGGUAGCUGAAGGUACUAUACGAAUAAGCACCGGCUAACUCCGUGCCAGCCGCCGCAGUAAUAC
rnacentral:rRNA from 1 species